UCUCCUGCCUUGGCUUUCUGUGCGGCUGUGAUUACAGGCAUGUGCCACCACACCGUGGACACCUUCUUUUGACUGUGAUCCAUCACAUGAGGGCGCACGUCGAAUUUUCCCCUUAUGUGAUAUUCGCAGAUUUAUGAGUAUUUCAGGUUCUUUUGUUAGCAAUGGUGAAACUGCAUAACAUACUCCGGUGAGGAACUUCUAUUGAAAACUUAAAGUAAUAUACUCUUGAUUCACCUUCUCUUGUCUAUAGACAUCUCAAUGCAAACCUUUAGCUUCACACUCAGUAUGCUACAUAAUUUUCAACUAUUUCUCUUAUAAUAAUACAUGAAUAAAUGCCCUUAAAGACCUUUGAUACUAGUAUACUUGGGUGUUAGAUUUGAUUGUACUAAAGCAUACAUGGUUUUACAGAUGAAAUACAGAGUUUCACAUCAAAGCCAUCAGCGCUGUCAAAAGUUUCAGUUUCUUCGAGACCGAAUUGCAAAAGCUCCCCAACAAUGGACUUAUCUCCCUACCAAGAAUUUCUGGCAUCGAAGGACCUGUGAAGAAGGCAAGGGAAGAAAGAGGUGGCUGGUGCUGCAGUGUUUGCCAUUGAUCCAGAGGUUUUCCAGUGGACCUCAGGUUCCUGCAGGCUGCCUGGGCCCGAGCCAGGGCGUGACCACACAGAAGAUGAGGAAGGGGAGCUCUGCCUGUUCUCUGUUGCUCACUUCUGGUCAGCACACCCACAUUCAGCUCAUCAAAGUUUAGGAGAUGAAAUACAGAGUUUCACAUCAAAGCCAUCAGCGCUGUCAAAAGUUUCAGUUUCUUCGAGACCGAAUUGCAAAAGCUCCCCAACAAUGGACUUAUCUCCCUACCAAGAAUUUCUGGCAUCGAAGGACCUGUGAAGAAGGCAAGGGAAGAAAGAGGUGGCUGGUGCUGCAGUGUUUGCCAUUGAUCCAGAGGUUUUCCAGUGGACCUCAGGUUCCUGCAGGCUGCCUGGUCCCGAGCCAGGGUGUGACCACACAGAAGAUGAGGAAGGGGAGCUCUGCCUGUUCUCUGUUGCUCACUU